CCUUACUGGGUACAUGGUUCGCCAAUAUUUUCUCCCAUUCCAUAGGUUGCCUCUUCAUUGUUUCCUUUGCUGUGCAGAAACUUUUGAGUUUGCUAUAAUAUUACUUGUUAAUUUCUGCUUCCAUUGCUUGUGCUUUUAGGUGUCAUAUCCAAAAAAUUGUUGCCAAGACCAAUAUUAAGCUUUUUCCCUGUUUUCUUCUAGGGGUUUUAUGAUCCCAGGUUUUACGUUGAAGUCUUUGACCCAUCUUGAGAUGAUGUUUUGUGAGUGGCGUAAUAUCAGUGGCUGUAUCUUGACUGUAGAUGUUAUGGGCAGCAGCUGGGACUGGCGGAUUCAUAAGGCCUUGGAAUGGCAGCCAAAUCACAACCAUGAGGAGAACCAACCUUAGGAUAAAACCAGCGGUGAUCAAAGAAAGAGAGAGCGAGGCACCGUGAUGACAUCACUGGGCUGCCGAUAGGCACCAGCAUUUGGACUCUAAGAUACAAUGAGAAGUCAACAGUCUGCAACCUGGAAGAGGGUUCCUCAGCAGAUCUCAACCAGCUGGCAUCCUUAUCUUGGAUUUAUGACAUCCAGAACUCUG